rnacentral:rRNA from 1 species
AUUGAACGCUGGCGGCAGGCUUAACACAUGCAAGUCGAGCGAAGAUGAGGUGCUUGCACCUUAUCUUAGCGGCGGACGGGUGAGUAAUGCUUAGGAAUCUGCCUAUUAGUGGGGGACAACAUUCCGAAAGGAAUGCUAAUACCGCAUACGUCCUACGGGAGAAAGCAGGGGAUCUUCGGACCUUGCGCUAAUAGAUGAGCCUAAGUCGGAUUAGCUAGUUGGUGGGGUAAAGGCCUACCAAGGCGACGAUCUGUAGCGGGUCUGAGAGGAUGAUCCGCCAAGCUGGGACUGAGACACGGCCCAGACUCCUACGGGAGGCAGCAGUGGGGAAUAUUGGACAAUGGGGGGAACCCUGAUCCAGCCAUGCCGCGUGUGUGAAGAAGGCCUUAUGGUUGUAAAGCACUUUAAGCGAGGAGGAGGCUACUGAGACUAAUACUCUUGGAUAGUGGACGUUACUCGCAGAAUAAGCACCGGCUAACUCUGUGCCAGCAGCCGCUGUAAGAC